AUGCCCACUUCGGCAGCACAUAUACCAACAUUGGAACGAUACCAGAAGAUUAGCAGGGCCCCUACUCAAGGACAGCAUGCAAGUUCAUGAACUAUUCCAUGGUUUG